UACGUAGGGUGCGAGCGUUGUCCGGAAUUAUUGGGCGUAAAGAGCUCGUAGGCGGUUUGUCGCGUCUGCUGUGAAAACUCGGGGCUUAACCCCGGGCCUGCAGUGGGUACGGGCAGACUAGAGUGCGGUAGGGGAGACUGGAAUUCCUGGUGUAGCGGUGAAAUGCGCAGAUAUCAGGAGGAACACCGGUGGCGAAGGCGGAUCUCUGGGCCUUGCCUGACGCUGAGGCGCGAAAGCAUGGGGAGCGAACAGG
rnacentral:rRNA from 1 species